AUUGAACGCUGGCGGCAGGCCUAACACAUGCAAGUCGAGCGGAUGAAGGGAGCUUGCUCCUGGAUUCAGCGGCGGACGGGUGAGUAAUGCCUAGGAAUCUGCCUGGUAGUGGGGGAUAACGUCCGGAAACGGGCGCUAAUACCGCAUACGUCCUGAGGGAGAAAGUGGGGGAUCUUCGGACCUCACGCUAUCAGAUGAGCCUAGGUCGGAUUAGCUAGUUGGUGGGGUAAAGGCCUACCAAGGCGACGAUCCGUAACUGGUCUGAGAGGAUGAUCAGUCACACUGGAACUGAGACGCGGUCCAGACUCCUACGGGAGGCAGCAGUGGGGAAUAUUGGACUAUGGGCGAAAGCCUGAUCCAGCCAUGCCGCGUGUGUGAAGAAGGUCUUCGGAUUGUAAAGCACUUUAAGUUGGGAGGAAGGGCAGUAAGUUAAUACCUUGCUGUUUUGACGUUACCAACAGAAUAAGCACCGGCUAACUUCGUG
rnacentral:rRNA from 1 species